GGAGAUAGGGUCAGUUGGUAACGACAUGCCCCUGUCACGGGCAAAGUGCGGGUUCGAUUCCCGCUAUCUCCGCCA
rnacentral:tRNA from 1 species